rnacentral:lncRNA from 1 species
CUCCCUCCCUGGUGAUGUCCCUGAUCAUCCAUCAUGCCUUGCUGAUACAAUCCAGCGCCAUAAACUGUCUUCAGGGAGCAUGGGUGGCCAACAGACGAGACAACGUGGCUGUUCUUAAUCAGCUUUUCCCAGUGGGAGGAAGUCCUGUUUCCUUUGGAUUCCAGCUCUCCAUCAUUGUUCACCUGUAAGAUGAAGAACAUCAAAACUUGUCCUAAUUCUGCUCUCCUAGGUCACCUUUUACCCAUGGAAAUGAUAGAACAUCCUGAUAUGCAUCUUCAAAUAUAUUUCAUUUUUCUAUCAGCAAUUCAUGAAUGUUUCCACUGAAGAUAUUGAAUAAUAUUGAAGAAAAAUAUGGAAGAUCAUAGGACAUUCUUAGUUUAAACAUCUUGUCUGAUAAUGAAGUGAAAACUGGUAUGUCAUUUAAAUUUACAUUCCCAUACUAAUGAUACUUAACAUUUUUCACCAAGUUUGUUAAAUAAUUUACAUCUCUACUCUUCAGUAUAACUUUAGACUUCUUAUUCUUAUAUCCUCAAAGGUUAUCUCUGUAAUCUUCCUGAAAAUCACUUCAAUUACUUAACUACAGAGAUUUUAAGUGAGGCUUUAACCAUUCUGUCACUCAACUCACCUGCCUCAGCCUAAGUGCUACAAUGGACUUUACAUUAAUAUAUAAAUGGAUAGAUACUCUGUGUGUGGGUUUUUAUAAAUUUAUCAUCAAUGAACACCAGCAAGCUAAUUUUCAAUCUCUCAAAUCAUAAGAGUAACUAACAUAUCACAACCUUAAGCUAACUCAUGACUAAAUUCAUUAUCUUUCUCAAAUUUCAAUUAUUCUUGUUGCUUCUCACAUUUUCCAAUUUGCCCUAAGAGUUUCUUUUCAGAUUUAUUUAAUCAUGAGAGACACAGAGAGAGGAAGAGAUGGAGACACAGGCAGAAGGAGAAGCAGGCUCUUCACAGGAGCCUGAUGCAGGACUCAAUCCAGGAUCCCGGAAUCACGACCUGAGCCCAAGGCAGCCACCCAACCGGUGAGCCACUAGGCACCCCUGCCCUAAGAGUUUCUUACAUCAUUAUUACCAGUAUGGUAAUGUUACCAAUAUGGUUAAAAAAAAAAUCUUCAAUAUUAAGAAUUAAUAGAUCAUUUGAUUCAAGUUCAUUUCUUAAUAUUUUCUUGAUGAUGAUAUAUAUGACUUAGUAUAGAAAAUUUGAUACAGUGGUUUUUUUAGAUUAAAUAACCUAAUUUAUUUUCUCCAGAUUGUGUACUAGAAGUUGGAUGGAACACUAUAGUGUGGAAAAUAAUUUUGCCAAAUUUCAUUCCCAACCAGUCUCCAUCAAAAUUUUAUCUUUUUCCUGUUUCAAUAUAUUCAUGUGACAUUUUUUAAGUUGUUAAAAACUAUUUAUUUGAAAGUCUCAAUGAGCACCCUGG